UGGGAAGUAACAUUCUGGGGACUCCCAC
rnacentral:piRNA from 1 species